GCCGAGUGGCGGAAUUGGCAGACGCACGGGACUUAAAAUCCCGGGUUCCGAUAGGAGCGUGCGGGUUCGAGUCCCGCCUCCGGUA
rnacentral:tRNA from 1 species